rnacentral:tRNA from 1 species
GGCUCGUUGGUCUAGGGGUAUGAUUCUCGCUUAGGGUGCGAGAGGUCCCGGGUUCAAUUCUCGGACGAGCCC